rnacentral:rRNA from 1 species
UACGAAGGGUGCAAGCGUUACUCGGAAUUACUGGGCGUAAAGCGUGCGUAGGUGGUUCGUUAAGUCUGUCGUGAAAGCCCCGGGCUCAACCUGGGAAUGGCGAUGGAUACUGGCGGGCUAGAGUGCGGUAGAGGAGAGUGGAAUUCCCGGUGUAGCAGUGAAAUGCGUAGAGAUGUGGAGGAACACCGAUGGCGAAGGCAGCCCCCUGGGCUGAGAUUGACGCUCAGGCACGAAAGCGUGGGGAGCAAACAGG